UGGUGCAGUCGCUGCACUCACGCCAUGUUUCUGCUCUGCGAAGCACACCGGAUCAGGGCAGCGAAUCGGCCAAUCAGAGAGAGCUCGCCCUGGACAUCCUGGCUCAGAUCGCGCAUGCUUUCGAUUUCCCAGACCUCCACCGCUUCCUCACUAGGACCCUCCAGGUGCUCUUGCCCUACCUGGCGGCCAAAGCGAGCUCUACAGGCUCCGCCCUCAUCCGUACGCUGGCCAAUGAGCUGAAGGCAAACAGGAGAGAGAUCCUGAUCAAUAACUUCAAAUACAUCUUCAGCCACCUGGUCUGCUCCUGCACUAAAGAAGAGCUAGAGAGGGCCUUCCACUACCUACAGAGUGAGACAGAGAUUGAACUCGGCUCUCUGUUAAGACAAGACUUCCAGGGUCUUCACAACGAGCUGCUGCUGCGCCUGGGAGAACACUACCAA